rnacentral:lncRNA from 1 species
AUUACACAGUGUUAGUUACAGUUCCCAUCAUCCAUAUGUUGUUUAUAGUAACACGUCUAUAAUAUAUGAAAUAUGAUUAUUACAAUAAUAAAUAUUACAAUACUUUCCAUGUAAAGUAAAGUAGACCCAUAUACAUUGUUUUAGACGUCACUUCGAUGGCGAGUAUUACCUGGCGCUGAACGAAGGCUCCGCCUACAAGGCGGGGUCAAGCGCUCUUAUUGGACCACGACUAUCUCGCUCAUUUAAAUAUCCCCGCGACACUCGUCUGGUUUGAGACGCGCUUUUAAGAGAAUCGGUCUUUAUCACAAAGAACCCUCGUCACGGUGCUUCCAGACAGACUGUUGAUGUCAGAUGAGGACAACAAGUGUUUAGCGACCUUCAUUUAGGAAGAUGAACAUUUGUCUUCUGUUUUGGAUCCUGCUCCCAGCAGCAGAAUGCGGUUCCCAUUCUCUUGAGUUCUUGUCUACAGGACGUGUUCAGCCUGGAUCUGGGCCCCAUUUUGAACAAGUUACAGAGUUUGAUGGAGUUGUGAUCUCUCACUGUGACAGUGGGACACAACAAGAACACUUCAAACCCGUCCUGGAAUCCCACAACUUACCUGGGACCUGCAGACCAGCAUGUUAUGAUGUUUUUGAUGCUCUCAAAGAGAUUUCUCAAUUCAUCAAUCACACACGGAAUGUUCAGCGGCGGCGUGGCUGCAUCACGUCAGACGAGAGGCUUGAAUCUGCUUUUGACAACUGGGCAGUGAAUGGAGAGGGUUUCAUUCAGUUUGAUGCUGGAGCUCAGAAAUGGAAAGCCCUGUCUCCUUCUGCAGAAAUUAUUAAAGAUUCGUGGAACAGCCGUGAGUCUCGGAACGAUUUCUUUGGACAAUUCAUCAAUGAAGAAUGUCCAGAAAUGAUCCAUCAGAUCAAAUUAAGAGAAGCGGAAAAAAGAACAGAUCUCCGUGUGUUUGCCAACCCUGUUGACAGAACCAAGGCAUUGCUGAAGUGCCACGUCACCAGUACUGACAAAUCAGUGCGUUCAGUGUCUCUGACUGAAGACGGGGCCACCAAGGCAAACUGGAUCACUGUAACUGGCCCGUUGCCUUCUGGGGAUGGAUCAGUGAUCCUCAUCCUGACAGCUGAGGUCCCCCUGAUCCACACCAACAUCUAUGGCUGUGUUGUCCAAACAGAAGACAGAACCAUCACUGUCAUGUGGGGUGAGAACUUUACAUUUACAUUCUGCUGCAUGAUUGUUAUUUACAGAUCUAUAGAUUGUUUCUGGGCCCAAUUGUAAAUAUAACUGGUAAAAAAGUUCAGGAACAUAUGAUACAGAAUAAUGCAAGGUUUUAAACCUACUGUAUUUUAUUGUUAUUGCCAUAAUGUCCCUUUUGUUUCAGAUGGAAAAACACUUGCUGGUGUUAAUGGGACAUUUUUGGCUCCCAUUUUGGUUUCAUGUGUUCUUUUAAUCUGCGCAACAGCAUGGAUGCUCAAAUGUAAGUCUCACUACUUUUGUUGAAACAUUCAUCAUUCUGUCAGCUGAUAUUUUGGUAUUAAUGUUUCAAUAAUUAGCUUUAUGAUCAGAUCAAUGUUUGUAAUGAAAUAUAUCUGCCAACAUGUAUUAUUUGUGCCUCCAUUUGUGUUUCACAAUAGUCAAGAAGAGGAUUGUUUCAAGUGGUGAAGAACAACCACCAGUAUCUUUAAGGAGUGAUGAAUUGAUGGAUAACCAGAAGAAUGAAUAUUUGUCAAGAUUGGACGAGAGACAAAUGCUAUGAUCCAGAAUAUUUUUAUUGUCCAUAUUAAAGUUGCACCGUGUAAUACAACUGAGCAGGGGAUCAAAACACAAACAUUUGCAGUGAACCGGCUUUAACGUUCACAUUUACGACACUUUCAAACAGAGCAGUACAUUAAACAGAACAUACAGGUGAAGUCACAACAGUGAUCAGGUGUAAAAAGCUAAAAAGCAAAAGAAACUUUUUAUUAUGUUCUUUUCCCUGUGACCUUUUAUCUAUUAUGUAAGCACUUUGGUUUCCUAUUUAGACAUUAUAAAGCAUUACACAAAUAACUAUUUCUAUGUUAAUGUAACAUGACCAACAAACUACUGUUUAGUGAACCGUUUACUUAAACAUUAAUUUAUUUCUUUAAGAGACUGAUCAAAUGUAACUCAUGUUCUUUGAUGAUGUCAUGUGGCACCAAUAAUGUUGUCAAUAAACGAUUAAUUUUAAUUUAAUGAAAUUGAAUAUCAAAAUAAAUGUACAUACUUGUUAAGAUCUUCUUUUACUGUAUUAAAU